rnacentral:rRNA from 1 species
UGGGGAAUAUUGGGCAAUGGGCGAAAGCCUGACCCAGCGACGCCGCGUGGGUGAUGAAGGCCUUCGGGUUGUAAAGCCCUGUCAUGCGGAAAGAACAGUCUCAUUGUUAAUACCUGUGAGAUUUGACGGUACCGCAGGAGGAAGCACCGGCUAACUCCGUGCCAGCAGCCGCGGUAAUACGGAGGGUGCAAGCGUUGUUCGGAAUUAUUGGGCGUAAAGGACGCGUAGGCGGUAAUGAAAGUCAGAUGUGAAAUACUUCGGCUCAACUGAAGAACUGCAUCUGAAACUUCAUAACUAGAGUACAGAAGAGGGAAACGGAAUUCCCGGUGUAGAGGUGAAAUUCGUAGAUAUCGGGAGGAACACCAGUGGCGAAGGCGGUUUCCUGGUCUGAUACUGACGCUGAGGCGUGAAAGUGUGGGGAGCAAACA